rnacentral:rRNA from 1 species
GAUGAACGCUGGCGGCGUGCCUAAUACAUGCAAGUCGAGCGAACAGACGAGGAGCUUGCUCCUCUGACGUUAGCGGCGGACGGGUGAGUAACACGUGGAUAACCUACCUAUAAGACUGGGAUAACUUCGGGAAACCGGAGCUAAUACCGGAUAAUAUAUUGAACCGCAUGGUUCAAUAGUGAAAGACGGCUUUGCUGUCACUUAUAGAUGGAUCCGCGCCGCAUUAGCUAGUUGGUAAGGUAACGGCUUACCAAGGGAACGAUGCGUAGCCGACCUGAGAGGGUGAUCGGCCACCCUGGAACUGGGACGGGGACCAGACUCCUACGGGAGGCAGCAGUAGGGAAUCUUCCGCAAAGGGCGAAAGCCUGACGGAGCAACGCCGCGUGAGUGAUGAAGGUCUUCGGAUCGUAAAACUCUGUUAUUAGGGAAGAACAAAUGUGUAAGUAACUAUGCACGUCUUGACGGUACCUAAUCAGAAAGCCACGGCUAACUACGUG